rnacentral:rRNA from 1 species
UACGUAGGCAGCAAGCGUUGUUCGGAGUUACUGGGCGUAAAGGGUGCGUAGGCUGCUUUUUAAGUUUGGUGUGAAAUCUCCCGGCUUAACUGGGAGGGUGCAGCGGAAACUAGAGUGCUAGAGGGUGGGAGAGGUAAGCGGAAUUCCUGGUGUAGCGGUGAAAUGCGCAGAUAUCAGGAGGAACACCAAUGGCGAAGGCAGCACUCUGGGACGGUACUGACGCUGAGACGCGAAAGCGUGGGGAGCAAACAGG